UACGUAGGGAGCGAGCGUUGUCCGGAUUUACUGGGCGUAAAGGGCGCGUAGGCGGUCUGUUAAGUAUGAAGUGAAAUCUCCAGGGCUCAACCCGGAAACUGCUUUGUAAACUGGCAGACUAGAGGAAGGUAGAGGUAAGUGGAAUUCCCGGUGUAGCGGUGACAUGCAUUGAUACCGGGAGGAACACCCGUGGCGAAGGCGGCUUACUGGACCUUAUCUGACGCUGAGGCGCGAAAGCGUGGGUAGCAAACAGG
rnacentral:misc_RNA from 1 species